rnacentral:rRNA from 1 species
UAAAAAUUUUUUUAGAACUUAAUUUUUUAGUUAAAAAGCUAAAAUAAAUUUAAAAGACGAGAAGACCCCAUAGAUCUUUAUAUUUUUUUUUUUUAUUAUUUUUUAGUUUUUUUAUAAAUUAAUAAAUAAAAAUAUUUUGUUGGGGUGACAUUGAAAUUUAAUAAACUUUCAAAAUUUAAUAACAUUAAUUUAUGAAUUUAUGAUCCUUUAUUAUUGAUUAAAAAUUUAAGUUACCUUGGGGAUAACAGCGUAAUUAUUUUGGAGAGUUCAUAUUGAUAAAAUAGAUUGCGACCUCGAUGUUGGAUUAAGAUUAAUUUUGAAUGUAGCAGUUCAAAUUAUA